rnacentral:misc_RNA from 1 species
CAACCCUCAAGCCCUGCUUGGCGUUGGGGCACUACUCCCCCGUAGGCCCUCAAAACUAGUGGCGGACUCGCCGUGGCUCCUCUGCGUAGUAACCAAACCUCGCUCUGGGACCCGGCGGGAUUCUAGCCGUUAAACCCCCCAAUUUUUAAA